GAUGAACGCUGGCGGCGUGCCUAAUACAUGCAAGUCGAGCGAACAGACGAGGAGCUUGCUCCUCUGACGUUAGCGGCGGACGGGUGAGUAACACGUGGAUAACCUACCUAUAAGACUGGGAUAACUUCGGGAAACCGGCGCUAAUACCGGAUAAUAUAUUGAACCGCAUGGUUCAAUAGUGAAAGACGGUUUUGCUGUCACUUCUAGAUGGAUCCGCGCCGCAUUAUCUAGUUGGUAAGGUAACGGCUUACCAAGGCGACGAUGCGUAGCCGACCUGAGAGGGUGAUCGGCCACACUGGAACUGAGACACGGUCCAGACUCCUACGGGAGGCAGCAGUAGGGAAUCUUCCGCAAUGGGCGAAAGCUUGACGGAGCAACGCCGCGUGAGUGAUGAAGGUCUUCGGAUCGUAAAACUCUGUUAUUAGGGAAGAACAAAUGUGUAAGUAACUAUGCACGUCUUGACGGUACCUAAUCAGAAAGCCACGGCUAACUACGUG
rnacentral:rRNA from 1 species